GGCAUACGGGUGAGUUACGCGUGGGAACAAUACCCUUUCCUUGCGGAACUACUCCGGGAAUAUCUGGAGCUAAUACCGCAUACGCCCUUCGGGGGAAAUGAUUUAUCGGGGAAGGGAUUGGCCCGCGUUGGAUUAGGUAGUUGGGUGGGUCCAAGGCCUCACCAAGCCGACGAUCCAUAGCUGGUCUGAGAGGAUGAUCAGCCACACUGGGACUGAGACACGGCCCAGACUCCUACGGGAGGCAGCAGUAGGGAAUCUUGCGCAAUGGCGAAAGCCUGACGCAGCCAUGCCGCGUGUAUGAUGAAGUCUUAGGAUUGGUAACCAUACUUUCACCGGGGAUAGAUAAUGACGGUACCCGGAGAAGAAGCCCCGGCUAACUUCGUGCCA
rnacentral:rRNA from 1 species